rnacentral:snRNA from 1 species
GUGCUCACUUCAGCAACACAUAGACUAAAAUUGGAACGAUACAGAGAAGAUUAGCAUAGCCCCUGCGCAAGGAUGACACGCAAAUUCAUGAAGCGUUCCAUAUUUUU